rnacentral:lncRNA from 1 species
UGUCGAACUUAUUUUCACUUCUUCGAACAUAUAAAAUGGGAAAAUUAUAGUAUAAGAAUAAAAGUCAGACUUGACCUGAACACGGACGCUGCCUAUAUUCCUUUCUUCCUUCUUUUUUUUAAAACUUAGGCAAAAUUUAUGUUAUAACGUCAACGAAUACCUUAGUAGAGUACUCCAACACUCAUAUAUCACUCUUUAUGUAAUGGUAUAACGGAGAAGGAUUAGAAAUCAAAGCAAGAAUAACAAGUUAAACCUACCACUUAUACUAAAGAUACAGUGGUUUAGAUUUGGUUUUCAGGACAGUUUUGGUUUGACUUUUUUAAUACAAAGAAAAAUCAAACCAACCCAUUAGUCGUUUUUUUUUGUUUGACUCGAUUUAUCGUUUUGGUGUUUUUGUUGAUUUUCUUUGUACGCCCUUACUUUAACAUAUUAUUUCAAUUUUGGACGUAGAACUUUUGUAUGCUCCAAUAAAUUUUAUUGCUCAUAGAUAUUAGUAAUUCAAAUAAAUACCAAACAAAAAUCAAAUCGAUACUAAUGCUAACAAAAAAAUUCAUUCAACACUAGCAAUAACGAUAGUGUUGAAUAUUUAUUUGUUUGUUUUGCAUUGAUUUAAACAGUGAAAAUGCGUAACUUAAUUUUUUUGUAUUUUAUCAUGUAAUUAAUACUUAUUAGCCAUACUUAUUUUAGCAUGUACUUUUAGAUUAUGUUUAAUUUCAUUAUGGCUCGUUAGCAAUAUAUAUUUUAAGCGAUUUUAUUAUUUUAGUGCUGGCGACAUUAUAUUUUAAUACAAUAUCAUAACUCAACUCAUAAUUUAUGUUAUUUUCUUGAAAAAUACCUUAUAAUCAUUGUAUCUUAUAACGACUAAAGUAACAUUUGUAGCACAAAUUAUAUAUUUUGUGUUAUAAAGACUUUGACGGAAAAAAAAAAACUUAAAAAAUCGAGAAAACUCGAGAUUAUGUUUUAAUUUGAUUUAUAAAUUCAAGAACCCAACAUAAUGGAUUUGAUUUGAUAAAUUAAAAACUCAAAGCAAAACCACUCUACAUCCCUAUUUGGUACCAAUGGCUCAGAUCAAAUGUAAAUAUAUCCUCUGUACAAAUUAAAAUCGACAAAGUUUUAUAAAACAAGGAACUUUGAUCUGGGAUCCUCCUUUCUUUCCACUUAGUUUUACAAAGUGGUCCUCGUGUUUAUUAACUUGAGGGACUACGGAAAUUUGAGGCUUGGCACAUACUUAGGUUCCUAAAAGUCUAAAUAGAGGUAUAUAUACUUUUUUUUUGUUUCCCAUCCGGUGGUCGGUGUUCGGUAUCCGCAUUGGAGCCCGACUAUAUCCGCAUUCGCGUCGUAGGGCUCCAUUCGGGGGGAAGCGCUCCCUACCAAGGAUUUUUCCAUACCUAGGGCUCGAACCCGAAACCUCUGGUUGAGGGAAAGGCAGCCUCAUCCGCUGCACCACAUCCUUUAGUGGUAGAUAUAUUACUAAUUAGUAAAUGCAACACUUGCCUAUAUAUACCUUGCCAUUGCAGAAGUUUGCUCCAUAUCUCAGUAGGCACGACACAUUUGAAAAAUAGGUGGUCUAUAGCUUCUGCCUCAUUGUUGCAAAGAGGGCACAUUAGAUUAUCAGUAAUUCUCCAGUUAGCAAGCCCGUCCCUUGUGAGUAGUCUUCUUUGAGCUGCCAGGGUCAAAAUAAACAGCCACUUAGGAGCACCAAAGUUGUUGCAAACUACUUUCCUCCACGAGACUCGUUGGAACCUCCCUCUCAUUGUCUAAUACAAUUUCCUGAUUGAGAAGGUCUUCCAACCUACCACCUCUGUCAUAGUCAGCCCUGCAUCUUCAAUGUAUAGUCUUGCUUUGACAAUUUUCUGAACCAUCCAAGAUGCCUGCCUUGGUGUAACCUCUAAAAUUGGUCUUUUCUUCCCAUAAUAUUCAUGUACCCAUUGCCCCCAAAGUUUAUCUUUUUUUUUUUACACAAGUUCCAUAAUAAUUUACAUAUAGCUGCCUUAUUCCAUGUAUAGAUGUCAAGCACAUUGAGACCCCCUGCAACUUUGGGGCAACAAACUUUAUCUCAUGCCAAUAGUGCCUUUUUUUGAUACCUCUACACCUCAUGUCCACGGAAAAGACCUGCAUGUAGCUUCUAUCAUCUUCAAAAUUUUCUUUGGCAACACAGAUUUGCGACCAAUAGGUUUGGACAGCAUAAAGCACAUUUUUUAUCAGUUCUAAUCUUCCUGCAUAGGACAAGUAUCUUAUUGUCCAGGAGUUAAUCCUUCCAAGCAUUUUCUCUAGUAGAGGCUGGCACUGGACAAUAGAUAUUCUUUUGCUACUCAAUGGCACCCCCAAGUACUUUAUAGGGAGUUCUCCCUUAGAAAACCCCAACAUAUCUACUAUUUCCUGUUGUGUAUUCUGACCAACACUCCCAAAGUAGAUUGAGCUUUUGCUUAUAUUUGCAACUAAGCCAGAAGCUUUAGAGAAUUCUGUGAAACAAGUAUAAACCAUUUGGACAGACACUUUAUCCCCUCUACAAAAUAAGAGCAAAUCAUCGGCAAAUCCUAAUUGGAUGAUAUUCAAUUUAUCAUAUCUGGGAUGGUAGUUAAAAUCAGGUUUCUAUCGCAAGGUCUUUAACAGUCUUGUUAGAUACUCCAUGGCUAAUACAAAGAGCUAAGGAGAGAUAGGGUCCCCUUGCCUCAAAUCCUUCUUCGCAGCAAAAGGUUUUGUAGGUCUUCCAUUGAUCAUAAUAGAGUAAGAAACUGAACAUAUGCAAGACAAUAUCAACUUCACGAAUCUGUCAGGGAAGUUCAGACUAUGCAAGACUUGUUCUAGGAAUACCCACUCAACAAAGUCGUAAGCUUUUUGCAUAUCUAGCUUGAUCGUGCACCUACUAGGUGACACCCCCUUUCUCCCAUACUCCUUAACUAAUUCAUGACUAAGGAUUAUAUUAUCAGUUAUGACUCUUCCUGGUACAAAGGCAGGUUGACUAUUGUCCACUAGAGUGUCCAUUACCCCAUGUAGUCUUUUAGUUAAAAUUUUAGAGAUGACCUUAUACAAGACAGUACAACAUGAUAUGGGUCUAAACUCCCUAAUAGAAGAUGGAUUUUUUACCUUAGGGAUCAAGGUGACUGUGGUAACACUGAUGGGUUUGUGCAUUUCCGACGUCUCAAAAAUAUGGCAGCAGUGAUAUCAUCACCUACAACUGGCCAGGCCUUCUUGAAGAAAUGAGAAUUAAAGCCAUCACAGCCCGGUGCCUUCAAAGCAUCAAUCCCACUAAGUGCAGUAUACACUUCCUCCUUCGUAACAGGAUCAAGCAGUCGCAAUUGUUGAGCACGACUUAUCACUUUACCCUGUUUCAUGACUCCUAGAUGAAUAGCUGGUAAGUUGGUAGCAGAAGAUCCUAACAACUCCUUAUAAAAACCCAGGAUUUCCUCCUCUAUGUCUUGUUUUGUAUGCACCAUAGUACCCCAACUGUCACUAGAGUUCUAAUCUUGUUCUGACUAAUUAUAUUCCUCAUACAAGCAUAAAAGAAAGCAGUAUCUGAAUCCCCUAGCCUUAGCCAAAGAUUUCUUGACUUUUGCUUGUAAAUGCUCUCUUCAAUGUUCACCUAUUUCUCCAAUUGUUUUCUCAAUUCCCUCUCGGUCUCCACCUCUUCAGGCUGGGGAUUACAGUCCCUCAUUUGCUCUUGUAGUUCCAUUAGUUGGUGCCUUAUAGCCUUCACUCUUUGAUCAACCCCAGAAUACUGUGAGCUAUUCAGCUUUUUUAGUUCACACUUGACCUGCUUUAACUUCAUCCACACCCUAUUCAUAGUAGAUCCAUCACCUUGAAGUUUCCAGGCUUUCUUUAUUACUGACAAAAACUCAGAGUGUUCUGCUAAGUGGUUAAAGAAUUUGAAAGAUUUUACAGUUCUAGGACCAUCCGCAAAUUCAAGACAUAGUGGUGAGUGGUCAGAGAAAUAAGGAUCCAUUACCACCACAUCAAACACUGGCAUUUUACUCAUCCAUUCGGAAUUCAGCACUGCUCUAUCUAUUCUGCUAUACACGUGGUUGUUUGUCCAAGUAAAGCUUCUACCCACUAAUCUCAGCUCAGUCAUUCCUGCAUCUAUCAAGAAAUUGUUGAAAUCCCUGAUCUCUGCCUCUUGGACUGGAUUUCCACUUCUCUUAUCCUCCACAAAUGUGAUGGCAUUGAAAUCACCCAUACAUAUCCAAGGCAACCUUUGAUAUGUUCCUAUAAGUUGUAAAUCAGCCCACAAACCACUUCUAUCCUCUAUAGUAUGAAGCCCACAAAUAGCAGUAAAACUGAACUCCAAUCUAGUGGCAUGAAUAAGUACCUCACCAUGUAUGAAUUGACUGGUCUUGUCCAACACAUUAAAUCUUACCUCAUUAGGAUCCCAUAGAACCCAAAUUCUCCCUCUCUUCCCAGCUUCAUAGUUUGUGUUACAUUGCCAUGUCGGCGACACUUUAUUUAUUAUACUACUGCAUACUUUUCCUGAACUCUAUGUUCAGUAACGGCUGUCAUCCCUACUUUAUUAUCUCUAAGAAACAUCUUGAUCUCUUUAUGUUUAUACAUCUUAUUCAACCCCCUUACAGUCCAGGCUACCAGCUUCAUAGUGAUUUAUCAGGUGGUUGUGCACUUCCCACUUCUUCUCUAAAACUACAUUGUCCCAUGUCCUUCUCAAUAUCCUCUAGUGUAUUGGUUUUAUGACCCCCAGUUUCAUCCAGAGGGUGCCAUGUCGGCGACACUUUCUUUAUUAUACUACUGGCAUACUUUUCCUGAACUUUAUGUUCAGUAAUGGCUAUCAUCCCUACUUUAUUAUCUCUAAGAAACAUCUUGAUCUCUUUAUGUUUAUACAUCUUAUUCAACCCCCUUACAGUCCAGGCUACCAGCUUCAUAGUGAUUUAUCAGGUGGUUGCGCACUUCCCACUUCUUCUCUAAAACUACAUUGUCACAUGUCCUUCUCAAUAUCCGCUAGUGUAUUGGUUUUAUGACCCCCAGUUUCAUCCAGAGAGUUAAACCCAUUCAUUACGAUCACUGAUCUGCCUUUCACCUCCUGCCAAUCACUUUCUUGUAACACAGUAUUUGAUAUCUUCCCAAGUUCAGCAGAAUUUUGCACCACUACUAUCUUGUCUUUCUCCACAAUGUUAAUCUGAUUAUCAUUCCUCUAAUCUUCUUUUGACCUCCAUUCCUGCUUUUGUCUAUUUUGCCUAGGUUGUUGAUAUUGUUGUUGUUGUUUACCAAGUUGUUGUUGCUUUACAGGUUGCUGCUUUGUUGCCUGGCAGUUAUGUCCCAAUUGUAAGCACUUACCGCAGUAUAUUGGUACCCAAUCAUACUCUAUACGCUGCUCAAACAACCUCCCAUUUGGAUCUUGCACCUUCAACCUCUUUGGGAGGGGUCUUGUAAUAUCCAUCUCUACUAGGAUUCGAGCAUACGAUAUCUGGUCCACAUUUGUAGUGCAAUCGUCAGCACAUAUAGGAUUUCCUAGUCCACUCCCAAUCUUGCGCAAAGAAUCAAUUCCCCAACAAUUAAGAGUGAGAUAAGGGAGUCUGACCCACAGAGGAAUAGUUUUCAGAACUUCAUCAUUAAAGCUAAAAUCUGCUGGCCAUGCUUUGGUUAUUAUAGGCUUGUUAUUGAUCACGUAUGGCCCCGAGUAAAGCACCUCAUUCCUUUCCUCCAAAUUGUUGAGCCUUAUAACAAAGUAGCCAUCGUUGUGAUAAUAUACCUUAGGUUUUGACACAAAAUUCCAUUGCGCCGCAAUAAAUCUUUCAACCGCGCCUAUGCUUGGUGUAUCUCCGACAACAUAUAGGAUGAUAGCCACCUUCCAUUUUUUAGUCGCAAUUUCCACUUCUGCUUGCUGUAAUUCCACUAUUCGUUCACCAUUUUAUAUUUUGGAGCUACAUAAGUCAAGCCCAUCCCCCUCGCUACAAAUUUGUUCCCAACAACUAAUUUUGCCCAGGAUCCAGUACCUAGUUCUGGUUUCUUUAAAGCUUCAGCAGUUGUAUUGUUGACCUCCUCUACCAUAGAGACUUGGUGUGUCUUGGUUUGUGACUCCUUUCCCAGAUCAAGUUUCUUCUGAGCUCCAACAUCCACAGCACUUUUGACCUCUACAACCCUAGCAUUGGAAUUGUUCAUCCCAGAUGCAGAAUUGAGCUCCUUGUUGGUCGUCUUCGGCCCACUAAGGUUCACCGGGGUCGUAUUCUCAGAACCGCGCACCGGUAAAAGGGGCCACACUUCAGCGGUGUUUCGAGCUUCGUUAACCGGCGUGCUAGCUUUCCCAGUCCCCAAAUUCUUCAAUACAUCGUCAAUUAAUUUCUGAACAUUACCAAUCGCCUUGUUAUUAGUCCUUUUUGGCCUUCCUCUGGCCAUGGUGGAUGAGAUGCGCACGCUUAGAAAGUCACUCUAUCGUACGCCGAGAGAAGAGCGAAGAAGAAAAAUAAAAAGUAUAGUGUUUUUUCUCUUCCAUGCUUUUUAUUCACCGCUAUGUUGUACCAUUAAAUACUUAAAUUUAAAUAUUAAAAAACUAUACAGAAACACAGUAUAAAGAGAUCUUUUCCCUAGCAAAAUAAAAAUAUGGCAACAAAUCUUAGUUAAAGAUUAUCUUUUUCCAAUUAACCAUAGCGAAACAAAAACGGAUUACAAUUGUGGGACCAAAUAAAUAUUUUCUUAAUACAACAUUCAUUUAAGACAAGCAUUUUGGAAUAUAUAUACAGAACCAUGCAUAAUGAAGACAAGCCAGAUAGUGAGUAAAUCACAACCUAUGGGGCAUUUACGUAACGUUGUUGGUUCUAACAAUUUGAUGACCACAUAAUUCUCUUCUUUGUUUUUUCUAAAAUUUUCUAAUAUUGUGGCUUUCACCAUUUGAAUUAGCAAUUCUUGUAGAAUCAGUCUUUUCUUUUUCCGCCCCUUCUCGAAAGAUGUAUAUGUUUUAGUCGAUUUUAAAAAUAAUAACCAACAUAUAUACAUCGUAAGCUAGCGUUUUGCCAUAAAUUCCCAAAUUUAUUAUGAAAAAUCUGAUUUUGGUAAAGUUUGGUUUGAAAAUGAAAAUGUGUUUGGACAUCUGUUUUGGGUGAAGUUUGAUUUGAAAAAACAUGAAACAUGACUUAUACCCACAAAUUCUAAAAACUAUCACAAAUACCCAACAGUACUAUUAUCAAUAAUAUUUAUUAUAUUAUCGCAAAUCAUAGUCCUGAACAUAAAUAAAUUUGAUACAAAAUUAUCAUUUUUAUAAUGAACUACAUGAUACACUAUCAUAUGACCGAAAAGACGAAGCAACAUCGUUACAAAAUAAUAAAUGGUGGGCUAUUUUAUAAAAUAUAAAAGUUUGAAGCAAUUUUAAAAAAAUAUAAUAGUGAUAUUUUGGUCCAAAACCAGCUAUUGAGUUGGUUUUGGGAUUUGACCAAAAUAUAGGCAAAAUCUAUGGUCAGACAUGUGUUUGCCAAAUAAAACUCAAGUUUAUUUUAGCAAAAACUAUGGCCAAACGGGUCCUAAAUAUAUAUUCUCUUCGGUUCAAUUUAUGUGAACCCAUUUGACUGGGCACGAAAUUUUUUUAAAAAAUAACUUUUAAACUCGUGGGGUAAAAUGAGGCACAUAUAUUUUGUGUGGCUAUAAAUUAUUACAGGAAAGAGGUCAUUCUUUUUGGCACGGCCUAAAAAGAAAUAAGUUCACAUAAAUUGAAACGAAUAGAGUAUAUAUUAUAUUGUAAAAAAAUAGAUAAUAUUUAUAUAUACUUUUCGGCUAGCGAAUGCAAUUAGUUUUUCCUGACUAAUCAAUCUUGUUCAAUAUUCUCAAAAUCGAUUGGAACAAUACAUUUUAAAGCCAAUAAAUCAAACUAAUUGUGAUGGAAUCCUGAACACGUAUUCAUAAAAUCCAAACCCUGAGACUGCGUGCUAGAAUUGUUCUCUCUUUUCCUUUUAUCUCAAAGUUCUUAACUAUAACGUUGUAUCAAUUUUCCAUAAUUUCCUGAAUAAUUAAAAAAAAAUCAGGAGUGAAGUUACAAUUAUGCUUACAAGUUCGACAAAACUCAUAACUUUGACCACAAGGGAGGAUUUAGGUCCAAAUUAUGGGGUACGAUAAUCCCAUAAUUUUUUUCCCAAACUAGAUAUUUUAUGUAUAUAUUUAUUAAUCUAAUAUUAUUUGUCGGUUCUUAUGCUCUAAAAAGGUAAAUGGCAUACCCGAUAAUUUUUUUCCCAAACUAGAUAUUUUAUAUAUAUAUUUACUAAUCUAAUAUUAUUUGUCGGUUCUUAUGCUCUAAAAAGGUAAAUGGCAUACCCGAUUGAAUGCUAAGUUAUUUACUAGAAAAAAGAGGGAUCAAUUCCCAUUAAUUUUUUUUUUUUUUGUGCGCCCAUAUUUAAAUAAUCUUAAAUCCUCCUUUGUUUUGGCCUAAAAUCUAUUUAAAAAUUCACCUGAUAUUUAUAGAAGAUUUAUCUAAAAUCCAAUAAGCUUUUUUCCUUGAAAAUGUAAAACCCAUAAACUCAAUAUUCUAUCACCACCUAUAAGAAAAGAAAGUUUAUUAUAAUUUCAAAACAAACAUACUAAGUACGUUGUUACAAAACCUCUAUAUCAGAAAUCCAGAAAUAAAUUUACUAAAUUGAAAAGUCAAAAAAAAAAAAAGAAGAAGAAGAAGAAGAAACAACAACAAGAGAGAUUAUUAGAAAUCCUCAAAUAAGGACGUGUUUGGAUAACAGGAAACUGAAAAUUAAGAUCUAGAGUAACAAUUAAGUUUCUCUACCUUGGAGGUGGAGAUAGAGGAAGAGGAGCGAGGUAUCUAGUGAAAAACAGCCGCAAGCUUGGUAAUAUGCGAAGAGGAUUAUACGUCGUCGUUUGACGGAUAAAAUCCUCUAUCGAUUCCACGAACAAAUUCAAGCUCCUUAUCGGCGGCACGUAUAGUGUCAGCGGUGCCGCCGAGAACGCCACCGCGAAGAACACCUCCAACAUUCCUUUAAACCGCCGUCAACAAUCACCGUAAAGUCAACACAGCCGUUGAUUUUGGCACUCCGGCGAAUAAUUUUUUAAAGGGAAUUUUAUGUUUUCUUACGGAGUUUGACUAGAUGGUUCUACAUAUAUAGAUUUUGCAAGGGGGAAGGGGUAAAUGUGUAUUUUUGAGAAAAGAGGGAUAAGCUUUGUAGAAUAUUAUUCAUAGAAAGGUUUACCAUAGGAGAAAUAGAGAUGAAAUUUCCUAAAUGACAACUCAUUGAAUUUGGACAUUUUACAAGGGGAAACAAGAUUUGCACACCCAUCAAAGAAAAUAUGUUUUAUGUUUAAAAUUUCUAGUUAAUGGAAUUAGAGGUUUUGGGUUCGAUUUAAAAAUAUUUUUAAGUUUAAAUUUUUUUGUCAAUGAAAUUAGAGUUUUUGAGUUCGAUCUAAAAAUAUUUUAAGUUUAAAAUCUCUCGUCAAUGGAGUUAAAGGUUUUGGGUUCAUCUCUGGUGGAGUCGGUCAUGUUCGAAAAUAAGAUGAGAAUUUAUUUUUUUUGAAAUGUAUGAUCAUUCAUCACUGCGCAAAUACAAUGA